rnacentral:rRNA from 1 species
GAUGAAUGCUGGCGGCGUGCCUAACACAUGCGAGUCGAGCGGCAGCGCGAGUAGUUUACUACUUGGCGGCGAGCGGCGGACGGCUGAGUAACGCGUGGGAACGUGCCCCAAAGUGAGGAAUAACUGCCCGAAAGGGUGGCUAAUGCCGCAUAUGAUCUUCGGAUUAAAGGAUUUAUCCGCUUUGGGAGCGGCCCGCGUCGGAUUAGGUUGUUGGUGAGGUAAUGGCUCACCAAGCCGACGAUCCGUAGCUGGUCUGAGAGGAUGAUCAGCCAGACUGGGACUGAGACACGGCCCAGACUCCUACGGGAGGCAGCAGUGAGGAAUCUUCCACAAUGGGCGAAAGCCUGAUGGAGCAACGCCGCGUGAAGGAUGAAGGCCCUCGGGUUGUAAACUUCUUUUAUAAGUGAAGAAUAUGACGGUAACUUAUGAAUAAGCACCGGCUAACUACGUGCCAGCAGCCGCAGUAAAAC